CCAGCCUACACCACAGCCAUAGCAACACUGGAUCCAAGCUGUGUCUGCGACCUACACCACAGCUCACAGCAACGCUGGGUCUUUAACCCAUGGAGCGAAGCAAGGGAUUGAACUUCCAUCCUCAUGGAUACUAGACUAGACAAGUUCUUAACCUGCUGAGCCACACUGGGAACUCCAAAAGGGCUGUUUUUCUAACCCCUCCUGCUAGAAAUAGCUGGAGCAGGCUUCUUAGGGCCCAGCCAAUUCUGCAAGCUCCACACUGAUACUGCACAGAACUGCCGCCACCUGAAUUAGUCUUCAAAUUCUCCAAGCCUACCUGGGUGGAACUAAAAAGACCUUUAGUGAACAUGGCCACUGUCCUUCCCGCCCCAUGCACACAGCCCACCCUAACCCCCUGGGGAGAGCUGCCUGCAUGGGGGGGCUGUGUCAGUGGGGGUGAAGGGCGCUGGGGCCCCCAGGGCCUCACCAGUGUCCAUUUAUGUCCCUACUUCAGGCUUAGGCUCCAGGUAAGGAAUCCUGCGCCCAUUAAAGCAGCAGCAGCACCUUGGAGCUGGCACCUCACAUUCGAGUGUUUUAUCCUGGUCAUCAUCCUAGCACCCUUCUCUUGGUGAGCACACAGGCCCUGGACUCUAUGUCAGCCUGAUGGGACUUUCUGAUCCCUGACUUGCCUUAACACACAAAGGCUUCUCUCCAAGAGCUAGAAGGCUGGUGACAAGUUUCACUCAUCUGUCUACCAAGAGAAAUAUUUCAAAUGCUUUCUAUUUAUGGCUGUGAAGUCUUGUGAUGACCCAAGGCGAAGGUGGACUCUCUCUGUACAUUGAUUUUUAGUGCAGGCUUCGUGUCUGUAGGUAAUUAUUUUUACCAUGCAAGUGAAGCAAGAAAUUAAAUUGGGUUUCUUUAAUGAGGGGGAAAAACUAGCACCAGAAAUGAAAGAUCACAGGAGAACCUGAGCAGGUAACCUGUUUGCAAAUACUGUUCUUGCUUUGGGUCUCUGUGGCUGCUAAAAAGGCAUUUACCAUUUCUCCAUCCCCCUCCUCUCCCCAACACACACGCACAAGUGCACACAUGCAGCGCUGUUUUUGCUUUCUCUUGGUUUCUCAGGAAAGAAAAAUCCCCUAGGAUCCUCCUUUUCUGUCUGCCUGACAAACCCAAUAGGCAAGCUACAUUAAUCUAUAAGUGAAGGUAAUGGUUUUUCUGCUGUUUCAUACAUGCAAUGUCAAAUUCAUGGAUCCAGAGGCAAGAGGAGGCCCUGGGAGGGCAAAUCCUCCAUUUCAUGGUUACCCGCCAACCCGCAAUGCUGGAGGGAUGUCCAGGAGCCCUCUGGUUCCCCCACCCCAGGAGGGAAGAGACUGUUCCCCCCACCACUCGCCCUUCUCCACUUCAGGACUGCGGAAGACAAGGCUGGAUCUCUGAAAACAAAGGCCCAGAGAGUCAGAUUUCCACCCUUAUCCAAAGUGCCAUGGCAGCUUCAGACAUCCUGGCCAGAAGUGGCUUUGCAGGCUGCCCCUCCAGGAAGGAAGAUGAGCGCCCAGGGUCAGAAGGCUGUGAGGUUUCAUAGGCUCAGACACACCAUUACUGUGACCUCAGUCUCUCUUAUGCCAAAAUGGACAGGGAGCCGUCUGACUCAGUGCUGUUUCUAGAAACUCGCCAGGGAGCAUUUUCCUUCAAGUCAGCUCAGAACACAGGGACGUGGCCCAGCCAGGUCCUGCAUGGGGUGGCAACUGCAAAAUCCAUGGCACCCUGGCCCCCAUCAGGGCCACUCUCCUGAUUCUGAGUCACCAGUUAAGGCUAGGGGACAGGAGUUGCCCUUGUGGCUCAGCAGAUUAAGAAUCUGACUAGUAUCCAUGAGGGCACAAGUUUGAUCCCCGGCCUUGUUCAGCAGGUGGAGAAUCUCUGGUGUUGCCGUGAGGGGCGAUGUAGGUUGCAGAUGCAGCUCGGAUCUGGCAUUGCUGCAUGGUGCUGUGGGUCGGCGGAUGGAGCUCCGAUUCGACCCCUAGCCUGGGAACUUCCAUAUGCUGCAUGUGCAGCCCUGAAAAAUAAAGGGAGAGGGGGGCUGCUGCGGUCCUCCUGCUGACUUCUCCCCUGAUGCACCCUUGGCUCUUUCCUCCCUGACACCACCACUUCCAGCCCAGGACGGGGCAGUGAGCACGCACACUCCUGAGGGGCCAUGACCCCUCUCAGAGGGCCCGCGUGGUCCAUCAGAAGGAAACGUUUCACAGUGAGGCCGCUGCGGGCCUGGGAGAGCAGUCCCUGCCAGAGCCUGGCCUUCCUCCAACAAAACGGCCCGGUUCGCCCCUGCUGCAGAAACUUCUAGAACGAGAAGAGGCCCUUCCCAGCAUCCUGCUGCACCCAGGGCUAGGAGUGUCAAUUUAUACAGUGAGGGGAGCCAGCAACCCAGACCCCGCUUCUACGUCACCUGCCAGCUCUCGGUCUGGAGACUUGCCUGUGGUCACCAUGUGUCACCUCCCAGGAGAUGUUCCACUUUCCAAGCAGGUGAGACAGGAACCCUGUUAAAAAUAGCUGGCUGGACUCUUCACAGAGUCCCCCUUAUAAAGCAAAACCACUGGCGCUCCUCCGUCCCUGGCCUCAGGUUCCCUCUGGGACUGGGUGGGCCUGGUUCCCGCUGCACUGAACCAUCACCACCACCACCUCCCCCUGCCAGUACGCUCUGGUGUGGCACCCCAGCACAGUCCAGCCAGGAGUCACCGCUUGUCUGUGUCCCAGCCGCCCACAGGGCCCUUGGGCUGUGGCCACUGAGCAGCUUUUGCUCCCUGGGUUCACCUCGGUGACCGGGGGCCGCUGGGACGGUCCACACCCUCUCCCUGCCUUCCUGCUCCCUUUAGUGUUUGGCGGGCCAGGCUUUCUGGAGCUUUCUCAGAACUGUGGAUGCAUUCCCAGUGGAAAUCAUGACAUUUUCCGUUUCACAUUACGCACUCCACAAUGCCUCAGGAAAAGAGAGAGAGAAAGAGAAGGAAAACAAGGCCUGGGAGCCAGCCCCUCUCUGUCAACAGCCGGGCCAGGCCCUCUCUGUUUAUCCUGGAGUCACCUCCCGGAGCUUGACAGCCAGCGCUCCGUGUUUGCUCCUUCCGUCGGAGGACUGAUGAAUAGGUGACCUGCCUUUUCUAUCUGCUCCUCUGCUCCCGUGGCACCUCUGGGCCCAGGCAUGCCUCUCGACUUUGUUGUGUGUGGCUUUUUUUUUUUUUUUGAAACUUUACUUUCGACUGCCAUGGUAACUGCUGCAUGUUUGGCAAAGGGAAAGAG
rnacentral:lncRNA from 1 species